rfam:Steinernema glaseri strain NC unplaced genomic scaffold GLAS_3858, whole genome shotgun sequence.
GCUAAGGAUCUUUUCAGAUCCACACACUUAAAGGAACGUAUCCUUU